GGCAGAGAGGACGGCCGGGCUGCGCGCAUGCCCCCACAGGGGGCAGAAGGCUGGUGCCCACUCCUCUGGGACCGAAGCCACGACGGUUCAAGGGACAAAGCCAUACAUCUGGUCAACAGACACGUGAAAAGCAGCUCAUCAUCCCUCGUAUCAGGAAAAUGUAAGUCAAAACUACAAUGAGGUUAUCACUUCAAACCUGUCAGAAUG
rnacentral:lncRNA from 1 species